UACGGAGGGAGCUAGCGUUGUUCGGAAUUACUGGGCGUAAAGCGCACGUAGGCGGCCGUUCAAGUCAGAGGUGAAAGCCCGGGGCUCAACCCCGGAAUAGCCUUUGAAACUAGAUGGCUUGAAUCUUGGAGAGGUCAGUGGAAUUACGAGUGUAGAGGUGAAACUCGUAGAUAUUCGGAAGAACACCAGUGGCGAAGGCGACUGACUGGACAAUUAUUGACGCUGAGGUGCGAAAGCGUGGGGAGCAAACAGG
rnacentral:rRNA from 1 species